rnacentral:tRNA from 1 species
AUGGGAAUCGAACCCACAAAGUUCCGCUUACCGGGCAGAUGCCAUGUCCACUAGGCU